rnacentral:rRNA from 1 species
GACGUAGGAGGCGAGCGUUGUCCGGAUUCAUUGGGCGUAAAGAGCUCGUAGGCGGUUUGUCGCGUCGGCCGUGAAAUCUCCACGCUUAACGUGGAGCGUGCGGUCGAUACGGGCAGACUUGAGUUCGGUAGGGGAGACUGGAAUUCCUGGUGUAGCGGUGAAAUGCGCAGAUAUCAGGAGGAACACCGGUGGCGAAGGCGGGUCUCUGGGCCGAUACUGACGCUGAGGAGCGAAAGCGUGGGGAGCGAACAGG